rnacentral:tRNA from 1 species
GCCGCCGUAACUCAGUGGACAAAGUGGUCGCCUCCUAUGCGAACUGUCGCACGUUCGAAUCGUGCCGGCGGCA